AUCGCUUCUUGGCCUUUUGGCUAAGAUCAAGUGUAGUAUCUGUUCUUAUCAGUGUAAUAUCUGAUACAUCCUUUACUGAAGGAGCUUAUACUAAAUGGAUUUUUGAAGAUGAGAGAUGGAAUUAGGAGCUUGCUCCAUCUACUCUGAGCAUCGACUGGGUAUUGCAGUACUUUUGGGAACAGUACAAGAGAA